CAAGAACAUGAACUCGAAGAUCAAGAUGAACACCAUCAACAGCAACAGAGAGAUGAAGAGUCUCGCCACCGUCACCAUCAUCACCAUCACCAUCAAGCACAACAACAACAGGCCGCUGCAGUUGCAGCCGCAGCGGCUGCCGCAGCUGCACAACAUCAUCAUCAUCAAGCAGCCACAGCAGCAGCCAUUCAAAAUGCUCUGGCAGCAAAUCACCUUGCAAUGAUAGCCCAAGCCAAUCGUGCCGCUGGCGGUGGUGAUACAGCAUCACCCGAGUCUCUUAGUCAAUUUGGCGGCACAAGAUCUGAGAAUGGCG
rnacentral:lncRNA from 1 species